AGUCACAGUAGCACUAAUCAGGGGGUCUAGAAGGAGUCAUAGUACCACUAAUCAGGAGGUCUAGAAGGAGUCAUAGUACCACUAAUCAGGAGGUCUAGAAGGAGUCAUAGUACCACUAAUCAGAGGUGUAGAAGGAGUCAUAGUACCACUAAUCAGGAGGUCUAGAAGGAGUCAUAGUACCACUAAUCAGGAGGUCUAGAAGGAGUCAUAGUACCACUAAUCAGAGGUCUAGAAGGAGUCACAGUAGCACUAAUCAGGGGGUCUAGAAGGAGUCAUAGUACCACUAAUCAGAGGUGUAGAAGGAGUCAUAGUAGCACUAAUCAGGAGGUCUAGAAGGAGUCAUAGUUCCACUAAUCAGGAGGUCUAGAAGGAGUCAUAGUUCCACUAAUCAGAGGUCUAGAAGGAGUCACAGUAGCACUAAUCAGGGGGUCUAGAAGGAGUCAUAGUACCACUAAUCAGAGGUGUAGAAGGAGUCAUAGUACCACUAAUCAGGAGGUCUAGAAGGAGUCAUAGUACCACUAAUCAGGAGGUCUAGAAGGAGUCAUAGUACCACUAAUCAGAGGUCUAGAAGGAGUCACAGUAGCACUAAUCAGGGGGUCUAGAAGGAGUCAUAGUACCACUAAUCAGAGGUGUAGAAGGAGUCAUAGUAGCACUAAUCAGGAGGUCUAGAAGGAGUCAUAGUUCCACUAAUCAGGAGGUCUAGAAGGAGUCAUAGUAUCACUAAUCAGGAGGUCUAGAAGGAGUCAUAGUUCCACUAAUCAGGAGGUCUAGAAGGAGUCAUAGUACCACUAAUCAGGAGGUCUAGAAGGAGUCAUAGUACCACUAAUCAGGAGGUCUAGAAGGAGUCAUAGUACCACUAAUCAGGAGGUCUAGAAGGAGUCAUAGUACCACUAAUCAGGAGGUCUAGAAGGAGUCAUAGUACCACUAAUCAGGAGGUCUAGAAGGAGUCAUAGUACCACUAAUCAGAUAAGUUUAUAACCAAAAAAAAUAUUUUAUUAUUAAUACUUCAUUACUUCUGAUCAUGAAGCCUCCAUCAUUUCCAUUUUAUAUAAAAAGCAGUGGUGUAAUUCAGGUCCUGCAGUCAUUCUGUGAUUUUCAUUCUUCUUUGCUGGUUGUUAGCUGUUGCUACCAACAACAAACACACAAAAGAAGCCCUGGCAACUAGAAGUGAGUAUGUUAAAAAAGGCCAAAUCACUUCACCACUGACGCAGCUAAUGCAAGGAGAGAGGCUACUCCGGGUCCUAAUCCAGGCCAUAAUUCAUCUGACAUGUCUGUUGAGGCUGUGCAUGAUAAUGUGUGCCGACUGCACAGAGCAGCUAUUCAUCCCCGCUGCAGCCUUGUUAUGGAGAGAAGCUUUCAACGUAAACACAGCAAUGUGCUACACAACAUAUCAGUGUUUGCAAAACAUUCGUCCUCAGCCUCUCCAGUCUGCGUUUAGAUGUGAGGUGGUUUUGUCUGCAAGAAUACCAGGAUCAUGAGGUGAUUACACCAGCAGCAAGAAAAUCUGGGGCUUUUUUGUUCUCUUGCAUGUAAUGGCAAAUUUAGUUCUUUUUUCUCAACAUAUACACUCCCUGUAUAGUGGGCUUUGAAUAAUUUUGUUCAGUUUCCACAAAUAUGGAAAACACAUACACAAUGAGGCAAUAAAUAUUCCAACAGAAGCAUUACAAUAGGCUUCCAUGCUAAUAUAAACAGUGUUUUCUGUUGCCCAGAGCUCUGCAAAAGUCACAAAUUGAAAUGCAGAUUACACAGGUACAGAUGUGAACUCCUCCUGACAGGUUUUCUACCCACUGGUUUCACAUACAGUUAGUCAUCAAUAACUAAUAAACCUGGUUUAGUUGUCCUCAUCCACAUAAAGAAGCACAAACUCUGGGUUUCACCUGCAGACACAGCUUCUUCAUGAUCUCCUGAUAACAUGCAGGACAGCAGCUAAACAGCUCUCUGCCUGUCAUUCCUCAUGCUGUAUCGAUCAUCACAUUAAGGCACAAACACUGUUUAUUCCCUGCACUUGUCAAUAUUGAGAUUUUGACAUAUGUUGCUUACUUAACGUGCUUUACUUCACACUACUGGAUAGAAAACAUCCAAAACACACAUUUAGGUGUUUAUUUUACUGUAGGUUUUGUAAAUUAGUACGCAUACAGUACCGUUCAGAAGUCUGGGCUCGCUUAGAAAUGUCCUUAUUGUUGAAGGAAAAACAUUUUUUUUCAGUGCAGAAACCAUUAAAUGAAUGAUAAAUCCAGUGCAGACAUAGUUAAUGUGGUAAAUGACUAUUGUAGCUGUAAACGUCUGAUUUUUAAUGGAAUAUCUCCAUAGGGGUACAGAGGAACAUUUCCUGUGUUCUAAUGCUAUAUUGUGUUAGCUAAUGCUGUUGAAAGGCUCAUUGAUGGUUAGAAAACCCUUCUGCAGUUAUGUUAGCACAUGGAUAAAAGUGGGAGUUUUCAUGGGAAAAACUGUGUAUUUUUUCUAUAUUUUUACUGCAUUUUUAUUUCCUUUUUGUUAUAUUUUUAAAAUAAUUUUUAUUGUAUUUUUACUAUAUUUUCUGUAUUUUUAUUGCAUUUUUACUAUAUUUUUAUUGUAUUUUUUCUAUAUUUUUACUAUAUUUUAUUACACUUCCAUUCAAAAGUUUUGGAGUCGCUUAGAAAUGCCCUUAUCUUUGAAAGAAAAGCAGUUUUUGGCUUUGGUCAUAUCAAUCUCAUCCUGAUUUAUGGAGCAUUUUAUCCCUAACAACCUGGCAAAAAUGGAAUGUUUCUGGCUGGUGUAUAUAUUUUCUAAUUUACCAAUAGCUCUCCAACUUCGUAAACCAAAUCUGUAUCUAAUAUUGUGCCACUUCACCAAAAAUCUCUCUAUUUAUACAUGCCUAAACUGGUUCUAAUGCUGCUUAUGUGUAAUUUCCUGUCCACAUUUAUUCUAUUUUAUUGUUUUGAUUGACCUCCCACACUGCAUUGUGUAUAGAUUGCCUUUUUUGCAUAUUUUGCAAUUCUUAACAUAGUCUUGUUCUAUAUGUACAUUUGAUUAUAUUGUUUAUUAUUGUUCAGUUAGCUUGUUAUCAAUGAACCGUCAAGUGGCAACUACUUAGAUUUUCGCCCCCAUGUUUGCUGACAAUAAAGCUAUUCUAUUGUAAAAAAACAAAUUUGCAAAAACAAAUGGUUUCGGCUGAGCAAACGUUCCACAACACAGAAUCCAUGACAGAUUCAGGCGUAAUCAACAGUCAGCUAAAACAAAUGCAGGGACUUUCCACCGGCCUGCAGGUUGGGUUUACACAGAGCAGACAGCUGUAAGUUAAAUGCUGAGCCGUUUCUCAUGUAAAAAAAGCCAAAAAUAAACUGUGUGCUUUAGUCAGAUUUUGCAAAAAACUCAACAUUUGCUGCACCUCAACAUAACAGAAAACUCGUCACCGACUCCACUGUGACCGACAGACGUGCAACAAAACUUCAGGGACUUUUCAGCUGAACUGCAGAUAAAAAAGAAACUCACUAAAAAUAUUAAAUAUUUAUAGUACAUGGAGCAGCUAUUUGAAGCCACUUGAAAGAAUGCGGUUUCCAUAGAGGGGUGGGACUCAAUUCACUGUAAAAAAAAAAAAAAAAAAAGAGCCCAGUGAGAAAAAAUAAGACAGGAGAAAAGAAAAACAAAAAAACCAAAACAUAAAAAGCAACAGAGAUUAUUUGGAGUUAAAAGGUUAAGCUAAAAUUCUAGUCAUGGUUUGAGUUUUCCGUAAAGGUGCAGUGAAACAAGACAAAAAUGUGACAGGAGCAAAAAACUAAUCAUACAAAUAAACAGUCAGAAAGCACUUGGAAUUCAUUAAGAUAAACUAAAACUCUAGCCAUGGUUUGCAUUUUUCAUACAGGACUUGAUAUCGCAGCGAAACAUGAGCUCACAGUGGUUGAAAACACGACAGGAACAAAAAAAAAAAACAAGCAAAACUACCCCAAAAAACGCUUACAAUUCUGAAAGUUAAACUAAGAUUCUUGUCAUGACUUUACUGUUUCCACAGAGGUGCAGGACUUUAGACCCACAGUGGGUAAAAACGAGUCAGGAGAAAAAACUUAAGAAAACAAAAAACACAGAAACUUUAAGUUAUUUAAAAUUCUAGUACAGGUGCAGGACUUUAAAUUGCAGUCAAAAAACGAGACAACAGUGAAAGGUAAACAUAACAGUACAAAAGCAAGAAAAAACUAUUCUUGUCGUGGUUUUACAGUUUUAAUAGAGAUGCAGGACUUUUUGCUGCAGUAUAACCUGAGUCCACAGUGGGUAAAAACCUGACAAAAAGAGGGAAGAAACGCCCAAAAAUCCUCAGAAAACCUGUAAUACAAAACUGACGAUAAUGAUUGUUUAAUUGUAAGUUGGGGGAUUUCCAUGUUGAAGCUUUUAGCUAAACUUUUCCCACGUUCACCUGUAGCAUUAACUUGCAUUGAAUUAGCCUGUUAGCAGCUAGCUAAUCUAUCAAUCUGAACCAGACUCCAUAAAGCUCGGAUUAAACAUGGAGGCUGCCAAUAAGAGACCGAGGAAACGGAACCAGCGUGACCGUUAGAAAGCAGCCCACACUAACCCGGCUCGGCUCAGCUCGGCUCGGUUCGGUAACCGGGCCUGUGGCAACACACCGUUUAUUUCAUUAAGACCCGCUCGACCGUUAAAAUCAACCGGGGCCACCGCCGCGG